rnacentral:rRNA from 1 species
GACGAACGCUGGCGGCGCGCCUAACACAUGCAAGUCGAACGGAGCUUGCUUGUCAGAUCCUUUCGGGGUGACGACUUGUAAGCUUAGUGGCGAACGGGUGAGUAACGCGUGAGGAACCUGCCUUUCAGUGGGGGACAACAGUUGGAAACGACUGCUAAUACCGCAUAAGACCACAGCACCGCAUGGUGCAGGGGUAAAAACUCCGGUGGUAUGAGAUGGAUCCGCGUCUGAUUAGCUAGUUGGUAAGGUAACGGCUUACCAAGGCAACGAUCAGUAGCCGGUCUGAGAGGAUGAACGGCCACAUUGGGACUGAGAUACGGCCCAG